UACGUAGGGAGCAAGCGUUGUCCGGAAUUAUUGGGCGUAAAGCGCACGUAGGCGGCAUCGCAAGUCCCAUGUGAAAGCCCACGGCUUAACCGUGGAAGUGCAUGGGAAACUGCAGUGCUUGAGUACUUAAGAGGAUCGCGGAAUUCCCGGUGUAGAGGUGAAAUUCGUAGAUAUCGGGAGGAACACCAGUGGCGAAGGCGGCGAUCUGGGAAGAUACUGACGCUGAGGUGCAAAAGCGUGGGGAGCAAACAGG
rnacentral:rRNA from 1 species